rnacentral:tRNA from 1 species
GCGGGUGUAGUUCAAUGCAGAACUGCGGUCUCCAAAACCGCAAGAUGAGGGGUCAAGACCUUCCACCCGUGCCA